rnacentral:antisense_RNA from 1 species
CUUGAUGGAGCCGAGCAGCAGCGGCCUGUCCGCGGGCCGGUCCUGCCCGUACGUCGCCAACAGCGCCUGCGCCUC